CCACAAUCCACCAGCUGCUGCUCCUAUUGUGGAGGAUGACGGACAGAUGCAUUACGCUGAACGACAAAUGCAACAGGUCACUCAGCGCCAGCUCGUCACGGUCACAGUCAGUGAUACAAACUCCGAGUAUGCGGCUGUCAAACACACAUAGUCACCUGGAUGUAUCGAUCGCUAUUGCUGCAGGCAACAGACUCUCUGAAAGCUAACGUGCCCUAUUUCUGAGCAGCGUUGAGGUGCACUGAGACCCUAUUAAACCUGAGAUUACAGGGCACUCGGACCAUCCCAGACCCUGAGAUUACUGGGCACUCAGACCCUCCCAGACCCUGAGAUUACAGGGCACUCAGACUCUC